UCAUACGGAGGAUCCAAGCGUUAUCCGGAAUUACUGGGCGUAAAGAGUUGCGUAGGUGGCAAGGUAAGCGAAGUAUGAAAUCUUGUGGCUCAACCAUGAGACUAUGCUUUGAACUGCCUAGCUAGAGCACGGAAGAGGUAGCUGGAAUUCCCAGUGUAGGAGUGAAAUCCGUAGAUAUUGGGAGGAACACCGAUGGCGUAGGCAGGCUACUAGUCCGUUGCUGACACUAAGGCACGAAAGCGUGGGGAGCGAACGGGAUUAGAUACCCCGGUAGUCCACGCCGUAAACGAUGGAUGCUAGCUGUUAAAAGUAUCGACCCUUUUAGUAGCGAAGCUAACGCGUUAAGCAUCCCGCCUGGGGAGUACGGUCGCAAGAUUA
rnacentral:rRNA from 1 species